AACAAACUUGGGCUUGAAGUAAUAUAAUUGCGCAAAGCAAAACCCCUUCUCUUUUGGAUGCAUUCUUAAACCUUUCAUGUUCGUUUUCUUGGAUCAGAAGAGAAAAAAAUAAUAGAAGCGAUGAAAAGAAAAACAUUGGCUGAGCAAGUUGAAGGAGGAGAAGAGAGCUUGUAUAAUCAUGGAGUGUCCUGGUGGAGAGGGCGUUUGAUUGGAAAAGGAGGAUUUGGCUCCGUUUAUUUGGCGAAUG
rnacentral:misc_RNA from 1 species